UUUUUUUCAAAGAAUCAGUGGUUUAUCAGAUUAUCUGACAGAAAGCUUUAAGGCAUUGUUCAGGCCAAAGGCAGUAAACACAUGGUUCGCUGGUUGAUUUUUUUAAAUGUCCUGUUAUCUUGAAAUGUUUUGAAACCGUCACUACGACAUUCUCUCUGUAACAGAGGUUUAAUGCUGGUUAUUUAGACAUUCCAGCAGUUCUGCACAUGCUGAUGUGUAUAGACUUGAUAUAUACAGGCAGGACUGCGAUGGGCCGUUGGGCUCUAUAAACCGAGACAAAGGAACGUGAAGAAAGGACUGAAUGAGAAAACCAGUGGUGUUACACAGCUGAUGUAAAUAGUGGGUUCAGGCACUCUCCAUGUGUACAUUCAAUCAAUGUGAAAAGCUGUUGUAACUCAUUGCUUAUUGACCAAGGUGGGCUAACCUGCUGCUGCUGCUGUUAUCUUCAGCUUGAACAGCAACCCAAAAGAAGGUGGUAGAUCUGAAUAAGCAAAACCACACCAUUAAGCUGUAGCCACUGACAUCUCAACGUGUGCCCUGUAUGUGCGAUCUAUGAUAAAAAUGCAAAGCCUUAGGUUGAUGCAUGUGAACAUGUAUCAAGGUCCCAGGGUUGUGUCUAAGAACAAACAUCAAUAUAUUUCCUUUAAGAGAAGAACAGACAGUGAGGUCUUUGUUAAUGGGUAUAGACAUCCAUAAAGGUUAUAGACUCUGAAAAGUACUUGUAUUGAGGUCUUUGGAUCAUGAGAACAUUCAAUAAAAUGUUUGGUUCAUGAGGAACCAAGGUCUUUGGUUUCUGCAUCAAGGUCUUUGGUUUUUGAAAAACACAAACAUCGAGGUCUUUGGUUCAUGAGUUAAGUCAUGUAUCAAGUCCAUAUACCAAGAUCUUUAAUUCCUGAAAGUUUGCAUGUAUUAAGUCUACGUUGCGUUAUGUUUAAAGGAGAUACAUUAUCCAGGACCCAUCACCAAUUUCUGAAUACAAUGAAAUAUAACACAGAGAAUUGUGAGCAUCCCGACCACUAGAUCAGUGUUAAGUAGAGAAUACAAAUAUAUAAUUUACUGAGUGGCUGUUCUAUUUUGUUUUUUGGUGAUCCAAUGCAUUUAUUCUUGUCUGAGCUGUCAUCCUGAGAUAUAUAUCAGACGUGUAGAUCGAGGAAGUAAUAGGUGAUGGACACAGAUUGUUUAAGGCAAAGAGAGAUAUUUUAUCCCCAGAAACGUAUUGUGUCAGAUUAUGUUUGUUCAUGAAGAACAUUCAGAUUCAGUCACAUUAUAAAUGGAGACCACAGCUGGAGGGAGGUGUUUGGUCAUAAAGCUCUAUAUAUAUGUUCUGUAGUGUGGCCCUGUGACAGGUGGAAGAAGCUGUGUACAAUUCUUUACUUUUUACUUUGCACAGUCAUGGCUCUUUAUCAUGACAUAGUGCAGGCUGUAUAGAUAUUGGGGUGUGACAUAGCGUAGGCCAUAUAGAUAAUGGGGUGUGACAUUGUGCAGACCGUAUAGAUAAUGGGGUGUGACAUUGUGCAGACCGUAUAGAUAAUGGGGUGUGACAAAGCGCAGGCCGUAUAGAUAAUGGGAUGUGACAUAGCGGAGGCUGUAUAGAUAAUGGGGUGUGACAUCACACAGACCAUAUAGAUAAUGGGAUGUGACAUAGCGGAGGCUGUAUAGAUAAUGGGAUGUGACAUCACACAGACCAUAUAGAUAAUGGGAUGUGACAUCACACAGACCAUAUAGAUAAUGGGAUGUGACAUCACACAGACCGUAUAGAUAAUGGGAGGUGCCAUAGAGCAGGCCAUAUAGAUAAUGGGAGGUGACAUAGAGCAGGCCAUAUAGAUAAUGGGAGGUGACAUAGCGCAGACUGUAUAGAUAAUGGGAGGUGCCAUAGAGCAGGCCGUAUAGAAAAUGGGGUGUGACAUAGUGCAGACCAUAUAGAUAAUGGGAUGUGACAAAGCAUAGGCCAUAUAGAUAAUGGGGUGUGACAUCGCACAGACCGUAUAGAUAAUGGGAGGUGCCAUAGAGCAGGUCAUAUAGAUAAUAGGGUGUGGCAAAGCGCAGACCAUAUAGAUAAUGGGGUGUGACAUAGCGCAGGCCAUAUAGAUAAUGGGGUGUGAAAUAGCGCAGGCCAUAUAGAUAAUGGGGUGUGAAAUAGCACAGACCGUAUAGAUAAUGGGGUGUGACAUAGCACAGACCGUAUAGAUAAUGGGAUGUGACAUAGCGGAGGCCGUAUAGAUAAUAGGGUGUAACAUAGCGCAGGUCAUGUGGAUAAUGGGGUGUGACAUCACACAGACCAUAUAGAUAAUGGGAGGUGACAUAGCGCAGACCGUAUAGAUAAUGGGAGGUGACAUAGCACAGACCGUAUACAUAAUGGGAGGUGACAUAGCGCAGACCGUAUAGAUAAUGGGAGGUGACAUAGCACAGACCAUAUUGAUAAUGGGAGGUGACAUAGCGCAGACCAUAUAGAUAAUGGGAGGUGACAUAGCGCAGACCGUAUAGAUAAUGGGAGGUGACAUAGCACAGAUCGUAUACAUAAUGGGAGGUGACAUAGCACAGACCGUAUAGAUAAUGGGAGGUGACAUAGCACAGACCAUAUAGAUAAUGGGAGAUGACAUAGCACAGACCAUAUAGAUAAUGAGAGGUGACAUAGCGCAGACCAUAUAGAUAAUGGGAGAUAACAUAGCACAGACCAUAUAGAUAAUGAGAGGUGACAUAGCGCAGACCGUAUAGAUAAUGAGAGGUGACAUAGCGCAGACCGUAUAGAUAAUGAGAGGUGACAUAACGCAGACCGUAUAGAUAAUGGGAGAUGACAUAGCGCAGAUCAUAUAGAUAAUGGGAGGUGACAUAGCGCAGACCGUAU
rnacentral:lncRNA from 1 species